CCUACGAGUGGCAGCAGUGAGGAAUAUUGGUCAAUGGGCGGAAGCCUGAACCAGCCAAGUAGCGUGCAGGAUGACGGCCCUACGGGUUGUACACUGCUUUUAUACGGGAAUAACGCGCCUUACGUGUAGGGCUUUGCAUGUACCGUAUGAAUAAGGACCGGCUAAUUCCGUGCCAGCAGCCGCGGUAAUACGGAAGGUCCGGGCGUUAUCCGGAUUUAUUGGGGGUAACGGGGGCGUAGGCCGCAUGUCAAGCGUGCUGUGAAAUGUCCGGGCUCAACCCGGGCCUUGCAGCGCGAACUGGCGGGCUUGAGUCCGCGGAAGGCAGGCGGAAUUCGUCGUGUAGCGGUGAAAUGCUUAGAUAUGACGAAGAACCCCGAUUGCGAAGGCAGCUUGCUGCAGCGGAACUGACGCUGAUGCUCGAAAGCGCGGGUAUCGAACAGGAUUAGAUACCCCUGUAGUC
rnacentral:rRNA from 1 species